CCGAGGUGGAUUUGGCGGCAGAGGCCGGG
rnacentral:piRNA from 1 species